GAAUUCCGGGGCAACUCGGAUAGUACAGUGGCGUAAGGGUGAGGAAUACAUGGGUAACGUACCCUGGGCACGAGGAUAGCCCGCCGAAAGGCGGGGUAAUACUCGAUGAGACCACAGUGUCACAUGACACAGAGGUCAAAGGGCGGGGAUCCCUUCGGGGACCUGUUGGCCUGGGAGCGGCCCAUGUCCUAUCAGCUAGUUGGUGAGGUAACGGCCCACCAAGGCUGGGACGGGUACCGGGGCUGAGAGGUCGGCCCGGCACAUUGGCACUGAGACACUGGCCAGAGUACCUACGGGAGGCAGCAUGUG
rnacentral:sRNA from 1 species